CUCAGAGAGUUGGAAACUGAAGUAAUUCUAUUUAUGACAGUUCAAUUAAAGUUCAAGCUCCCCUGCUUCAGCUCUGGCCUAGAAAAAUCUGCUGUCUCUUAUGGCAGAAUAAGUUUAGGUUCCAUGUCAACUCAGUAAUGGCCUUUU
ensembl:misc_RNA